CCCUUAGAGUUUGAUCCUGGCUCAGGACGAACGCUGGCGGCGUGCCUAAUACAUGCAAGUCGAACGAAGCUUUCUUUCACCGAAUGCUUGCAUUCACCGAAAGAAGCUUAGUGGCGAACGGGUGAGUAACACGUAGGCAACCUGCCCAAAAGAGGGGGAUAACACUUGGAAACAGGUGCUAAUACCGCAUUACCAUGAAACCCCGCAGGAUGUUCAUGUAAAAGACGGCUUUUGCUGUCACUUUUGGAUGGGCCUGCGGCGUAUUAACUUGUUGGUGGGGUAACGGCCUACCAAGGUGAUGAUACGUAGCCGAACUGAGAGGUUGAUCGGCCACAUUGGGACUGAGACACGGCCCAAACUCCUACGGGAGGCAGCAGUAGGGAAUCUUCCACAAUGGACGAAAGUCUGAUGGAGCAACGCCGCGUGAAUGAAGAAGGCCUUCGGGUCGUAAAAUUCUGUUGUCAGAGAAGAACGUGCGUGAGAGUAACUGUUCACGUAUUGACGGUAUCUGACCAGAAAGCCACGGCUAACUACGUGCCAGCAGCCGCGGUAAUACGUAGGUGGCGAGCGUUGUCCGGAUUUAUUGGGCGUAAAGGGAACGCAGGCGGUCUUUUAAGUCUGAUGUGAAAGCCUUCGGCUUAACCGAAGUAGUGCAUUGGAAACUGGAAGACUUGAGUGCAGAAGAGGAGAGUGGAACUCCAUGUGUAGCGGUGAAAUGCGUAGAUAUAUGGAAGAACACCAGUGGCGAAAGCGGCUCUCUGGUCUGUAACUGACGCUGAGGUUCGAAAGCGUGGGUAGCAAACAGGAUUAGAUACCCUGGUAGUCCACGCCGUAAACGAUGAGUGCUAAGUGUUGGAGGGUUUCCGCCCUUCAGUGCUGCAGCUAACGCAUUAAGCACUCCGCCUGGGGAGUACGGUCGCAAGACUGAA
rnacentral:rRNA from 1 species